rnacentral:rRNA from 1 species
UGGCGACCGGCGCACGGGUGCGUAACGCGUAUGCAACCUGCCCAUAACAGGGGGAUAACACUGAGAAAUUGGUACUAAUACCCCAUAACAUCGGGACCGGCAUCGGUUCUGGUUGAAAACUCCGGUGGUUAUGGAUGGGCAUGCGUUGUAUUAGCUGGUUGGUGAGGUAACGGCUCACCAAGGCAACGAUACAUAGGGGGACUGAGAGGUUAACCCCCCACAUUGGUACUGAGACACGGACCAA